CAAGCUUGUGUCUAUAGGUAUG
rnacentral:ncRNA from 3 species